GUACACAAAAAUGCACAUACUGUGAGCUCGAUGAGUAGGGCGGGACACGUGGUAUCCUGUCUGAAUAUGGGGGGACCAUCCUCCAAGGCUAAAUACUCCUGACUGACCGAUAGUGAACCAGUACCGUGAGGGAAAGGCGAAAAGAACCCCGGCGAGGGGAGUGAAAAAGAACCUGAAACCGUGUACGUACAAGCAGUGGGAGCCUCUUAAUGGGGUGACUGCGUACCUUUUGUAUAAUGGGUCAGCGACUUAUAUUCUGUAGCAAGGUUAACCGAAUAGGGGAGCCGAAGGGAAACCGAGUCUUAACUGGGCGUUAAGUUGCAGGGUAUAGACCCGAAACCCGGUGAUCUAGCCAUGGGCAGGUUGAAGGUUGGGUAACACUAACUGGAGGACCGAACCGACUAAUGUUGAAAAAUUAGCGGAUGACUUGUGGCUGGGGGUGAAAGGCCAAUCAAACCGGGAGAUAGCUGGUUCUCCCCGAAAGCUAUUUAGGUAGCGCCUCGUGAAUUCAUCUCCGGGGGUAGAGCACUGUUUCGGCAAGGGGGUCAUCCCGACUUACCAACCCGAUGCAAACUGCGAAUACCGGAGAAUGUUAUCACGGGAGACACACGGCGGGUGCUAACGUCCGUCGUGAAGAGGGAAACAACCCAGACCGCCAGCUAAGGUCCCAAAGUCAUGGUUAAGUGGGAAACGAUGUGGGAAGGCCCAGACAGCCAGGAUGUUGGCUUAGAAGCAGCCAUCAUUUAAAGAAAGCGUAAUAGCUCACUGGUCGAGUCGGCCUGCGCGGAAGAUGUAACGGGGCUAAACCAUGCACCGAAGCUGCGGCAGCGACACUAUGUGUUGUUGGGUAGGGGAGCGUUCUGUAAGCCUGUGAAGGUGUACUGUGAGGUAUGCUGGAGGUAUCAGAAGUGCGAAUGCUGACAUAAGUAACGAUAAAGCGGGUGAAAAGCCCGCUCGCCGGAAGACCAAGGGUUCCUGUCCAACGUUAAUCGGGGCAGGGUGAGUCGACCCCUAAGGCGAGGCCGAAAGGCGUAGUCGAUGGGAAACAGGUUAAUAUUCCUGUACUUGGUGUUACUGCGAAGGGGGGACGGAGAAGGCUAUGUUGGCCGGGUGACGGUUGUCCCGGUUUAAGCGUGUAGGCUG
rnacentral:rRNA from 1 species